AUACGUAGGGGGCGAGCGUUGUCCGGAAUGAUUGGGCGUAAAGGGCGCGUAGGCGGCGCGGUAAGUCUGGAGUGAAAGUCCUGCUUUCAAGGUGGGAAUUGCUUUGGAUACUGCCGCGCUUGAGUGCAGGAGAGGUUAUCGGAAUUCCCGGUGUAGCGGUGUAAUGCGUAGAGAUCGGGAGGAACACCAGUGGCGAAGGCGGGUAACUGGACUGCAACUGACGCUGAGGCGCGAAAGUGUGGGGAGCAAACAGGAUUAGAUACCCUGGUAGUCCACACUGUAAACGAUGAAUGCUAGGUGUAGGGGGUAUCGACCCCUUCUGUGCCGCAGUCGACACAAUAAGCAUUCCGCCUGGGAAGUACGGCCGCAAGGUUGAAACUCAAAGGAAUUGACGGGG
rnacentral:rRNA from 1 species